GUCUGGAGGGCUGCGUCUUGCGGGGAGGAAAAGAGCGAGGCAGGGAGUGAGUGAGCGGCAUAGUAUAGCCAGCGUCACUGUCCCUUUCUCUAUCGCUGUGGCGACCAGACAGGCCAGAGGAUCACUUAAAAAGCCGCGCUGAUAUGCCCCGGGGACGAUCUCCUUCGGGCCCUCGGAUUGGUCCCACGAACCCAGACUGGGCCCUCCCAUUGGAUUCUUUUGUUAUUUAUAUUUAAUGAACAUGUCAACUUGCAAGAUUAGUCAUGAAAAUUUUUGUUUGGAAGAGGCUGUUUGUCUGGAAUACGCUUGCCCCGGUAUCUUCAUGGCUUGCUCCCUACCAGAAUGGUACAACCCAGGCUGCAACUUCACCCUUUACCAGCAGAAACUACUCUCUAAUGAAUGAUGUACUCCAGAAUGAAAAUUCCUCAAGUGAAAUGCACGAGAUUAGGUAUACUUGAGGACAAAUAACAAGGAAUGCAUAAGCUGGCCUCAGGAGACAUUUUGGAUCAUCUGGUAAAGGCUUCACCUCAGCAGAUUACAACCAUCUUCUAAAGUCUUAGAGAUAGUCCCCAAGGAACUUGUUGGGAACACAACAAGGUGGUGCCUUAGAGGGAGUGGGGAGGAGGCUUGCAGUUUCACUGCCAGCCCCUUUGUGAGUCAGGGGAGGGCUCUGGCGGAAGAUGUGCAAGUGGGGAAGCCGUGCAGUCUCCUCCAAGGAGAGGGGCCAUCCUCAGAUGGCUGAAGUUCAUGAGCAACCAAGUUGAAAGUCGCCAAAGAAUGUUCAUGUUUUAAUACAUAUAAUAACACGAUAGCCAAUGUUUAUGUAACGUUUUAAAUUUUUUAUAGGACUUUUACACACAACCGUGCUCUUUCAGAAAUAGUAUGGGUUAUGAUGAUAGAUUUGAGUUUGAAUUCUGGUUCAACCUAUUGGCUAUGUGAUCUUAGGUAAGUUACUUAACCUCAGGACCUGUUUUCUCCUCUGUUUUCACCACCUCAGCAGUGGUGCUCUGGUCAAGGUGAUACCCACUUAUGGGAUAAGGAUUGAGUGAGACAAAUCCCUAGUAUGACAUUUGACACAUGGGAAGCACUUGAUUUCCUUUCCUUCUCUAAAUAUGGUUAUUUGCAUCAGUGGACCUCAAACUUCCACGAUAGUUACUUGUUUAUAAAGGUAACAUUGUCUCUUCAUCUAUGUUUCAUGUUACACAGUGGUUCUUAACUCCAGCAAUGGGGGUGGAGGUAGUGAUGUCUAUGUUGUUAAAAAGCACCUGCACCUCUCUACUCCCUCACUGAGAAUCACUGGUCUACACUUUGGUACCCUAAGUAUCUCUCGCUAGUUUCAUAUUUUUGUUUGGUAUUUUUCAUUCAGCUUGAUUUCAGUGAAGUAAGGAUUUGCCUCCAUAGGAGGGCGAUACAUUAAGCUAAUGAAAAAGAUAGUUGAUAAAUUACCUUCUCAUGUGUAGCUAGAUGCCAGGGGGCAUUUUUUUCUUGGGGUGAAGUAUUAAUGGAAAGAAUGGUGGAAAGACUGAGGUUACUCAGGGCCUACUGGAGGGUCAGUUGGGCCAUAUGGGAGAAAAUGGAAAAAAGGGACGGUGAGAGGAACUGAAGACAAUUGUUUUUUUCAUAGAUCCUCAUUUGGUAGUCUGUGACUUGGCUUCUUCUGGAGUACCUACUGCCUCGCAAUAGAAACUGUUCUCUUUAUGCUGUGCCUCUGUCACACUUCCAGUCUCACCUACCCUGGAUAGGAGACCUGGACCCAGUGCUUGAGUCAUAUAUGGCUACCUGAGCCGACUCAUCAAAGUCAUAUUAAGUUCCUUAAGGUCUUGGAAUUUUAUUUGUCAAAAUGUAAAUAGUUCUCCCUAUAAUGAUACGUGAAUAGUUGCAAAUAAAAUUUGGUAACUGCAAAUAUGGAAGGCAAAGAGAAAGGAAAUUGUCUCGGUCUACUAUGACCCGCUCACAGGCUAGAUUAACUUAGCAUCACUUUUGACUUGUUCUAAAGAAGGGCCGUAGGACCAAGUUAUCCAUAAAGUUCUUAUUGGAAGUAUUUAAAGUUUUGGGUAAGGGACCUCAAAAUUGAAAUUACUAAGGAUACUUCUUAAGCCAGGCAGAGAGAUUUGAACUGAAGAGAUAAGACAGAGCUGAAGGUCAAGUUAUGACUUUGAGAAAAGACAGGCGUAUCAUUACCUGGGAGAGCCAUGCCUUUCAAAUAGACACAGAGGCUCCUGUAGUUGUAACUACAGACCUCCCUUCCAGGCUCUGACUUAACUGCUUUGGCCCAGCAGACACCAUCAGUAAACAAACCCUCUUGGGAGUAUCUGCUUGACCCUCUUUUAUAAAAAUAAACUUCCAAGGGCUGCCUGGGCCCCUGUCCUUAUUUUGUCAUCAUCUUCAAGGGAGUCUGGGUACACAGUAAUGAAGAGCAAUAGACAAGACUACGUGUGAUUUUGUGCUAAACUGCAUAUAUAGACAAGAUAAGAGAAUAAAAUCCUGGGGCAUAAGACCACUCAGAGACGGCUUCCUGGGGAAAGAAGAAUUUUUGCUUCAGGGUAGGUAGAAUUUAAAGAAAGACAAGAGAGAGCAUAGCCCAGGUUCUGUUUUAUGUGACUGUUAAUUUUCACUCAUGGCUCCCAUACUGAAACUCAUGGAGAUGAUGGAUGAGAAAGAGGAUAUAAGACAAGGUUAGAAGAAGCAAGGAGCUCAGGCACAUAGUAAGACAGUCUGAAUUAGAGCAGCCAGUUGAACAUGUGGAGACUUCACCGGCUGGAGGGAGAUUGAGAAUUACAAGUUUCAGUAGAACCAAAGCACACCACAUAUACCCUCAGGCAGAAGCCUUAUUAUGCAAUAAUGACCCCGUACACGCCCCAUUUCCCAAUUAACAAUGCACAGAUUGAGGUCACUGUGCACUUAAAACAAAUCUUCAUACAACCUGGGUAGAGCUGGUAGCCAACACUUUACCUUGAAGUUUGAUUUGUGCGUUUCCUCAGAUAUUUAAUACUUCUGAAAUGUUUUAGCCUUUGACAUCUAGAUUUGAGCUUCCCAAAUGUUUGUAGUGUACAUUAUAUUCUGGUCCUUGCACUUCAGCUGAUAUGAUGCAUCUGUUGUCCAAUGCGUCUGCUGUGCGCUCAUGGACAAGGCCAAAGAAUUAAUCUGGGUUGGGAGUGUUUAUGCUUUCACAGUUUGCUUUCUCAGUUUUGUUCAUCAUUGUUCUCUUCUUGUAAAAGGCCUAUUGGGACCAAGCUGGGAAUGCAGCCGAGAACCCCUGGGAAUUUGCCCAUUGGCAAUUAAGUUUUCUAUAGAUUUUAUCCCUGUGCCAAGUACCAGUGUGGUUUUUGGCAAGUUGUAUAACCUGGGGAUAGCCGAUUACCCACACUUCACCCUGAGCCUCUGCGUCUUCAUCUGAAAAGUGAAAGGACUAGGAAAGAUGAUUUUGAGGUUCUUCCACCUCUAAGAUUUGAGAAUUUGAUAAUUCCUGAGUAAUAAAAGUCAGAUUUUUUUGUCACUAGAGCAAUGAGUUUGUCCACUUAUACGUAUGGUCCCACAUUUAUCUGCCUCAAGCUCACUGUCACCACUUAUUUUUCCAGAUGGAGACAUGCAAGGCUGGUAAAGCCUAGUGGAGUUUACUUAAGAAACUAGACCCAGCCACUGGGCCCAUGCUCACCGGCUCCCAUCAUUCACUUCCAUUCAUUUAUCCAU